UAGGGAAUCUUCGGCAAUGGGGGGAACCCUGACCGAGCAACGCCGCGUGAGUGAAGAAGGUUUUCGGAUCGUAAAGCUCUGUUGUUAAGGAAGAACGAGUGUGAGAAUGGAAAGUUCAUACUGUGACGGUACUUAACCAGAAAGGGACGGCUAACUACGUGCCAGCAGCCGCGGUAAUACGUAGGGCGCAAGCGUUAUCCGGAAUUAUUGGGCGUAAAGAGCUUGUAGGCGGUUCGUCGCGUCUGGUGUGAAAGCCCAUCGCUUAACGGUGGGUUUGCGCCGGGUACGGGCGGGCUAGAGUGCAGUAGGGGAGACUGGAAUUCCCGGUGUAACGGUGGAAUGUGUAGAUAUCGGGAAGAACACCAAUGGCGAAGGCAGGUCUCUGGGCUGUUACUGACGCUGAGAAGCGAAAGCGUGGGGAGCGAACAGG
rnacentral:rRNA from 1 species